rnacentral:rRNA from 1 species
UGGGGAAUCUUGCACAAUGGGGGCAACCCUGAUGCAGCGACGCCGCGUGAGCGAUGAAGCCCUUCGGGGCGUAAAGCUCUUUCGACCGGAACGAUAAUGACGGUACCGGGAGAAGAAGCUGCGGCUAACUACGUGCCAGCAGCCGCGGUAAUACGUAGGCAGCAAGCGUUGUUCGGAGUUACUGGGCGUGAAGAGUGCGUAGGCGGUUUUCUAAGUUCGGUGUGAAAUCUCCCGGCUUAACUGGGAGGGUGCGCCGAAGACUGGGAAGCUGGAGUGUGGGAAAGGCAGGCGGAAUUCCUGGUGUAGCGGUGAAAUGCGUAGAUAUCAGGAGUAACACCGGCGGUGUAGACGGCUUGCUAGACCAUAACUGACGCUGAGGCACGAAAGCGUGGGUAGCAAACA